rnacentral:miRNA from 1 species
AUACGUGACAAAGCUCCUGAAA